GUGACGAGUCUACGUGUGUCACUCCUAGCAGUGGCAAGUCUCUAGGCACCAUCAUGGCGUGGUGCCCUAGGGCCGCCGGGGGGACGUUCCUCCCUGGACGCGGCUCUUUGGGGUCGCGCCCGCGACCACCCUGAGGCCCGAAAUUGGCAAGAAACUGAAUCGAAGACGUCCCAAGCCUCCCUGGAAACCGGCAAGUGUGCAGGUCCUUUAAGCCCACGAGGAAGCUGUAACGUUGUAAGAUCUUGUGGCUCACCAAAAGCAGAUUUAACUACAACUACAUGAAAUGGACAAGGACACAAAACCAGAAUCAGCAGCUGCUGUCAGCAUCUUUAUGGAUUCCUAAGGUGACUAUGGGCUGUAAAUCCUUUUUCAUACAUUGGGUCUCCAAAGAAGUUGAUAAAUCUUAAUUUUAUAUUCCUGUUGAAUUCCACAAGUAAUCAAAGGUCUAUAUGGAAGAAAAGCUAUUAAAAGGCUUUGGACUUGGGUGAUAAGUGGUUUUAGAUUGUUGAGCUCUCCAGAAGGGCACAGUCAUCUGUAAUUUUAUCUGUUGUCUGUUAUGGAUUCUGUGUAUUAAAAAAAUUAUAUAUAAAACAAA